UACGUAGGGUCCAAGCGUUGUUCGGAAUUAUUGGGCGUAAAGGGCUCGUAGGCGGUCUGUUGCGUCUGGAGUGAAAACUUACAGCUUAACUGUAAGAGUGCUUUCGAUACGGGCAGACUUGAGGCAUUCAGGGGAGAACGGAAUUCCUGGUGUAGCGGUGAAAUGCGCAGAUAUCGGGAGGAACACCAAUGGCGAAGGCAGCUCGCUGGGACGUGACUGACGCUGAGACGCGAAAGCGUGGGGAGCAAACAGG
rnacentral:rRNA from 1 species